CAUUAAGAAGCUAAAUAGUAGACAGCGUUAGCCUUUUAAGCUAAAGAAUGGUGACUAACAACCACCCUUAGUGA
rnacentral:tRNA from 1 species